ACCUUCUUCUUCUUUCAUACGACUGACCCUGACCUACUCUCUUCACCACCGAAUUUCGCCGGAAAACUUAAGCUCCACCGCCGCCGUGGUCAUUCGAACUCAUCUCCGCCGCCGCCGUUCUCAAUUGAGGCUCAAGACUAAGAAACUUGAAAAUUUACCUAGUGACUGCAGCUUCUCUUGUAGCCCCUGAGCUGGACCGACUUCCUCGCCGUCUUUGAAUAUGUAAACCCGUAAAGUUGUGCUUGGAAUUGGGGAACUUGCUGAUUCAUCUUUCUAGAGAUAAUAUUUCUCACUGAAGAGGUAAUUGACUGUUGAGGAUUGCAUCGUUAUUUUGAUUAAAUAAUGUAAAGCACUUAUAUACCGUUGUAUUCACGCAUAUCUCUGCUUGUCAAGUUGAAUACUCUAGCAGAAAAUUGAUUUCAAUUUGUACUUCAAAAGUAAAACUUAGAUUGACUGAAUGCUACACUGA